GACUCAGACAGGCAGUGCUCAUCGCGGAGAGGGCCUCCGACAUUUGACUGGCCUUGUAACUGGAAUGCUGAAAUUAUCUGAGCGGGUACUUGGCCUCAUUUUAUAUGAAGGAAAUUUAAAUGCAGAAAGACUAAGAGAUUCAUCUAUGUUUCCAUAGACGGAAUAUGCUGCAGUUCAGAUGUGAAUUCAGGACACGUGAAUGUCCACAGUUUUGCACUCUCCUAUUGAUCUGCUUUUACGGGAUUUCAUCUUGGUUGCUAUGCUACCUCUCACAGAAGCAUCUGCAUUUAUUCGCUUCCAUUCUAGUCAACAAAAACUUAUGGAGAAUUGACUUUGUACCAGGGAUCUUUUAGGUGAGGAAACUGAAAGAGGAAAAAGACAUAGUCUCUGCACUAAAAGAGCUCCCAGUCUAUAGAGGGGACAGACACACCUACCUACUGGACAACAGACCCUCGUGCAGUAAACUAGAGAACUAUUCUAAAACUUUCAAAUGGUAGAAUGAAAGGCUUUAUACCAGUUAAAGGAGUUUAGACAUCAGCUGGCAGCUGGGGAGUGGUUUGGUGAUAUGACAGUGGACACUUGGCCUGCCUGAGAGGAGCAUGCGCUGGUCACAUAAGGUUGCCUGGGCAGAGAUCAGAAGAGAUGGACCUGGUGUCUCUCUCCCAGUUUCCUGUAUUCCCCAGGCAUGACAAGCCCACCCUCUGUGACUGCUGGUGGUCUGGUCCUGAUGAAUCUGAAUAAGACUUUGACUUAUGUAAACAGGAGGAAAUGGAAAAGCAAUCCUAUUAGGGUCAAAUAUCUUCAAGACGACACACUCGUACAUUGCCAAGAAAGACUCAGCAUAAUUCCCUUGUGUUUUUACACUACAAAAGGUCCUUGUCUCCUUUCUCUAGCUGGAGUUGCUUAAAUUUGAUAUGCACAUAACUUCAGAAGGGGGUAGACAGAGCCCAUGCCUCCUGGAAGGAGUGAGAAAUAGACCUAAACGAUCACAGUUCAUUCAUUGAUUUUGCAAAUAUUAUUGAUCAUUUACUUUAUGUCAAGCACUGGGGAUAAAGUAAAGCAGUUGGAUCUAGUUCCCUACCCUCCUGGAGCUUCUGAUCCAGAUUCCUAGAGCUGAAACAGGCUUUGAAGACCUCUCAAUUUGUGGUUUCCAAAUUAUCUACCAAAGGUCAUUAAUAUUCUAUGAAAUAUUAAUUGGUAUUUCUUGGAGUAGGAUGACGUGAGGAAUUGUGUUCCAUGGUCAAAUUAAGUUUGAAGUGUUAGGUUAAACAAAGUUACAUUAGUUUCUUCAUGCCAGGCUACUCAGAGCCUUUCUAUGUUAACACACAUUGUGACUCUCUGACGGUGAGGGGGAGAGGAUGAGAUGCAAUAUGAUCAUUUGCUUUCCCCACUUAUUUCAACACAAAUCUUUUCUGAAGAGUACCCAUUAAUAAAAACUGUUGGCAGAACAUACUUCUGUUAAUGCUUCCAAAGCCAAAACCUAAAUCCACGUUUCCUUCAGCACAUGAGGAAGCUGCAGUGACCUAGAAUGGUGAGGGGCAGAACUGAGGCAAGAACCUGGAUCUCCUUAUUAUUAUUUUCUUGAUCUUUUACCCAUUCCAUUCUGCCUGUUUCUACUCUCUUUCUCAUCCCCUGGAAAGACAUAUAAAAACAGUGUUUCUUCCUUCUUUAUUUACCUCCUUCUUAGAUCAUGGUAAUGGUGAUUGUCUUCUCACCUAUUUACUGGGUUUCUUUCUCUGCUGUCUAUAGCUUUGGGUCAUAAGCUCUUAAAAGUCAAAGACCAGCUUUUACACAAUAAACUCAUGAACGAUUAGUGAUCAGUAAAUGCUUGUAGCCAAAAAGCAAUGGUUGACAGCUUCCUAUGCACCUCUCCCCGCAGCCUCCCAUACACCUUCCUCCUGUAGAUUCUCUCUCCCUGUGCCAACCGAGAACUAUGGAGGCCUCUUUUCUCCUAUAACAAUAUCACCACUGAAAUAGGUUAUUCCUUCUAAACUGCUUUAAAAGUUUCACUAAUAAGUUUUAAAACUGAUUUUGCCUAUUACACAAGAGAUUGCUUAAUUAUUAAUACAAUUCACUCGUGAUUAACUAAGAAUACACAGACUAUUCAUUCUGUCAUACAGGCCAGGUUGUAGAUGAGAGUUUUUGUGAGUGUGAGAGAAUUUGGACUUAUGCGUGUAUGCGUUUAAUUUGAAAAUCUACUUAGCUACGAAUCAGGACAUAUGGACGUGAUUUUAGACUUUGGAAACUUGAGGGGGAAGAAACAAUCUCUGCUAUCUCGACAUUAAGAGGUGUGUAUCUCUGGCCCUAAUAAGCAAGGAGGGGCUGCUAUACUGCCACCUUGUGGUAAAUAUGCACAAAGCCAGUUAAAUAAAUACAACCAACCUUCUCCUUAGUGUGUUAUUACGUAAUGCCCAAAAGAGGAAAAUAUUUUUAUUAAAACAUUAUUCAGGAAAAUGAACUAUUUUAGCAUGUGGAUAAUUAAAUAUAUAUUACAACCUGUCCUAUGUGACAGAAUGAAUAUUC